UACGUAGGGAGCGAGCGUUAUCCGGAUUUAUUGGGCGUAAAGCGCGCGUAGGCGGGCUAUUAAGUCAGGUGUUAAAGCCCGGGGCUCAACCCCGGCCCGCACCUGAAACUGGUAGUCUUGAGUCUGGUAGGGGAAAGUGGAAUUCCCAGUGUAGCGGUGAAAUGCGCAGAUAUUGGGAAGAACACCAGUGGCGAAGGCGGCUUUCUAGGCCACGACUGACGCUGAGGCGCGAAAGCUAGGGGAGCAAACAGG
rnacentral:rRNA from 1 species